rnacentral:tRNA from 1 species
GGCUACGUAGCUCAGUACGGUUAGAGCACAGCAUUCAUAACGCUGAGGUCAUGGGUUCAAUUCCCAUCGUAGCUA